GCCUGGGUGGCUCAGUCGGUUGAGCGUCCGACUUCGGCUCAGGUCAUGAUCUCGCGGUUCGUGGGUUUGAGCCCCGCAUUGGGCU
rnacentral:tRNA from 1 species